rnacentral:rRNA from 1 species
AGAGUUUGAUCCUGGCUCAGGACGAACGCUGGCGGCACGCUUAACACAUGCAAGUCGAACGAGAGAAGAGAAGCUUGCUUUUCUGAUCUAGUGGCGGACGGGUGAGUAACACGUGAGCAAUCUGCCUUUCAGAGGGGGAUACCGAUUGGAAACGAUCGUUAAUACCGCAUAAUAUAAUUGAACCGCAUGAUUUGAUUAUCAAAGAUUUAUCGCUGAAAGAUGAGCUCGCGUCUGAUUAGCUAGUUGGUAAGGUAACGGCUUACCAAGGCGACGAUCAGUAGCCGGACUGAGAGGUUGAUCGGCCACAUUGGGACUGAGACACGGCCCAGACUCCUACGGGAGGCAGCAGUGGGGAAUAUUGCACAAUGGAGGAAACUCUGAUGCAGCGAUGCCGCGUGAGGGAAGAAGGUUUUAGGAUUGUAAACCUCUGUCUUCAGGGACGAAAAAAGACGGUACCUGAGGAGGAAGCUCCGGCUAACUACGUGCCAGCAGCCGCGGUAAUACGUAGGGAGCGAGCGUUGUCCGGAAUUACUGGGUGUAAAGGGAGCGUAGGCGGGAUCGCAAGUCAGAUGUGAAAACUAUGGGCUUAACCCAUAAACUGCAUUUGAAACUGUGGUUCUUGAGUGAAGUAGAGGUAAGCGGAAUUCCUAGUGUAGCGGUGAAAUGCGUAGAUAUUAGGAGGAACAUCAGUGGCGAAGGCGGCUUACUGGGCUUUAACUGACGCUGAGGCUCGAAAGCGUGGGGAGCAAACAGGAUUAGAUACCCUGGUAGUCCACGCC